CAGUAGCCGCGGGAAUACGGAGGAUCCAAGCGUUAUCCGGAAUCAUUGGGUUUAAAGGGUCCGUAGGCGGUCUUGUAAGUCAGUGGUGAAAGCCCAUCGCUCAACGGUGGAACGGCCAUUGAUACUGCAGGACUUGAAUUAUUGGGAAGUAACUAGAAUAUGUAGUGUAGCGGUGAAAUGCUUAGAGAUUACAUGGAAUACCAAUUGCGAAGGCAGGUUACUACCAAUUGAUUGACGCUGAUGGACGAAAGCGUGGGUAGCGAACAGGAUUAGAUACCCGGGUAGUCCCUGUCUCUUAUAC
rnacentral:rRNA from 1 species